rnacentral:rRNA from 1 species
CCCAACGAGACCAACUCUCCCAGUUAACCACUCAAUCGUUUUCCUCCCAAUCUCUGCAUCUCGCCGGCGGCCACGGCCACGGCUGCGGCGACCAAGACCACCAGAGUCCAGCGACUAUUUCCUGCCACGAAGAGCGGUGAUUGGCGGCAGCACCUUGGACGCUGUAAUGGAGACACGCCGGAGGCGGCCACCUCUCCCAGCGACGGCAGCCUCUCCGGCAGAGAUCCAAGCGGGUGGCCAUCGCCUCUAGGCGUGGAGUUCUCCCCUGCGGACGCACCAGGCCUUGCCCUACUGCGAUGUAUGGAGCCGUCCAGCCAUGCGUUGGAGUUCCCGUUUGGGAUCCGAGCCGGACAUGCCUUUGCAGUAUGAUAUUUCUUUGCAGCUGCUGCACUGUCGAACUCUUCCCCAAUCUCUUCAGGCAAAACCGUCCUGGAGCUCCUUCGACACAACCCAAGACUAGCACAACCCGACCACUAUUGCGACCAUGUAGCUAGUUCUUAUCAGAUGACUUGCUAUUGGUGAUUUCUGUAAGAAUAUCAUACGAGUUGCUGUUGGUGCCAAUCGAGCAUCAUACUUCAGAAAUAAGUGAAUAUAAAAUAUAGAAGCAGUGUGAGUACAGGGCAGGCUCUAGGUAGGAGUAGCAACAACGUGCGUUGGUGGUUUGGACCAAUUCCUUUGGGUUCGGUUGGGAACAAGAGCAUGUUCUUGUGAC